CACUAGCGUAUACUAAAGUUGUUGCAGUUAAAACGCUCGUAGUUGAAGAGUUGGUGUGAUUGGCAUUGAACGAAUGUUGAGUGUCGAUGACGCGAUAUUCCGUUAGGAAGGUCACUUUGAGGAAAAUAGAGUGCUCCAAGCAAGCGAUGUUGAAUAGUGCAGCAUAGGAUGACGAGAGAGGACGGCGUUGCGGACGACGCGGCGCACGUAAAGAUGAAUAGGAGCGGUUGGGGGCAUUGGUAUUGGGCGCUUAGAGGUGAAAUUCUUGGAGUCGCUCAGGACGAACGAAUGCGAAAGCAAAUGCCAAGGACGUUUNUGUUGA
rnacentral:rRNA from 1 species